rnacentral:rRNA from 1 species
UUCCGGUUGAUCCCGCCGGAGGCUACUGCUAUUGGAGUUCGAUUAAGCCAUGCGAGUCUAAGGGAUACUUGUAUCCCUGGCAUAAUGCUCAGUAACACGUGGAUAAUCUGCCCUCAGGUGAGGAAUAAACCCGGGAAACUGGGGCUAAUACCUCAUAGACACAGAAAGCUGGAAUGCUUCUGUGUUCAAAGCUCCGGCGCCUGAGGAUGAGUCUGCGGCCUAUCAGGUUGUAGUCAGGGUCAUGACCUGACUAGCCAACGACGGGUACGGGGUGUGAGAGCACUUGCCCGGAGAUGGUUUCUGAGACACGAAACCAGGCCCUACGGGGCGCAGCAGGCGCGAAAACUUCGCAAUGCGGGAAACCGUGACGAGGGAACUCCAAGUGUCUAUGCAUUGCAUAGACUGUUUUUUAGCCUAAAUAGCUAAAAGAGUAAGAGGUGGGCAAGACCGGUGCCAGCCGCCGCGGUAACACCGGCACCUCGAGUGGUAGCCACUAUUAUUGGGCCUAAAGCGUUCGUAGCCGGUUUGGUAAAUUCUUGGGUAAAUCGUACAGCUUAACUGUGCGGAUUCCGGGGACACUACCAGACUUGAGACCGGGAGAGAUCAGAGGUACUUGUAGGGGAGCGGUGAAAUGUUGUAAUCCUACAGGGACCACCAGUGGCGAAGGCGUCUGAUCAUAACGGCUUUGACGGUGAGGAACGAAACCCUGGGGCGCAAACGGGAUUAGAUACCCCGGUAGUCCAGGGCGUAAACGCUGCUGACUUGGUGUUGGAGAUCCUACGAGGGUGUCCAGUGCUGGCGCGAAGGCAUUUAGUCAGCCGCCUGGGGAGUACGGUCGCAAGACUGAAACUUAAAGGAAUUGGCGGGGGAGCACUGCAACGUGUGGAGCGUGCGGUUUAAUUGGAUUCAACGCCGGA